AGUAGGGAAAUUUUGUCCUUUGUACUGUGGCAGUGGCAGCUGAGUGUGCAUUUGCCAAAUGGUGGAAGUGCUCCACCUGCUUCUGCAUAGCAUCACUGUGGGAGUUUUGUAGCAUGUUUUUCAUUUAUGAGAAAUUGCUUAAAAAGUGCAGGAAUACCAGGUGAUUGUAAUCUGCAGCAAUUACCAGGUGAAAUUUUAGCUAAAUAUCAAUGACACUCUCCCAACAGAACAAAUAGUAUUUUCAGUAAACAAUGAGUAGCAAUUCUGAAGAAUCUGGAACUGAAUAGGCAUUCUCUCCAAGUUCUUAAACAGUUACAUGGGUUCCAGCCUUGUGUGCCACAUCAGCAUUCCUCGUCUUCGGAGUACUAAUACUGCUGCUGUACAAGAGGAGACAGCACCAACAGUACCAAAGUGAAACAAUUCACGUGGAAGUUGAUGAGCCGGUCAUGGAAGAGGAGCCACCAUCCGCAGUGCCUUCCAUUGAUCCAGUAUAUGUAAGCAGGCUUUGUUGAAGUUAUCUCAGUAGCAACUGUCAGGACCUCUGCAUAGACUAAAUAUUCAAGCGUUAUAUAGACAGGAAAAAGGAAAGCCAAUGGGGAAUGUGAAGAACUGUUGAAAUUAAACUAUAACAACAAACCUUAAAUCAAGGAAUAGAAAUCUAACAUUCUAGCAGGUUCUUGCCAAUGAUACCUUAAAGAGGUGAUCAUUGGUGAGAAGUCAGGCUAUAGCUUUCUAUCUGUGUAUCUCUUAUUUAAAUGACUCCAAGAUAAAUCAUUGCUGGCAACUGAAACGAAGGAAGCUAUUUUCAUUUUAUUUUACCUCCUGCGAUUGUUUCAUUCAUCUUUGCAUUUCAGCCAUGUAAAUCACUCUGGAUAAAAAUUUCUGCUUAAUGAAAGAGCGAUAUUGUAAUGUAUAUCGGUGCUGCAUAGGUAUGGAGCAUGCUGCCCCACCAAGGCAUAACUUGCCGUCUAAUAUGUUUCAUCCAAAUCUGUAAAUAUACUGUGCCAUUUUGUUUACGAAAGCAUUUAUGCAUAAAAGUACUGUUAAAUUACUGACAACUGAAAUAUGUGUCAUUUAGAUUUAAAAAAAUGAAAAUAUUUGUCAAUUUUAUGGUGUUCAUUUGGUAUUUUCUUAUUUUAUUAAAGUAUUUUUAAAACUAAUUUUUUAUACAGCAUGAAACAUAGAUGUGGAUAAAAUGAUAAUGGUUAAAGCUGCUUCUGUAUCAGCACUGAAUACUGGCUGAGCACUGAGUUUUUUAAUAAAGUGACUUUUAAUACAUUGUUUACGAAGGCAUUUACACUUUGAAGUACUGUUUAACAACUGCCAACAACUGAAAGAUGUGUAAUUUAGCUUGAACAUCUAUGCAUAUUUUUUAAUUUAGUGAUGUUCAUUUGGUAAUUUUUUAUUUUAUUAAAGUAUUUUUUAAAUGAUUUUUUUAUACGGCAUGAAACAUAAUUGUGGACAAAUUGAUAUUGGUUAAAGCUGCCUCUGAGUUUUGUAAUAGAUUUUUUUUUUAUUUUUACAUUUUAACCAACAUGGUUUUUGUUUUGUUCUUACAGUCCCUAUGCAUGUUUUUCUUGUCUUGGUUUAGUUGCAAAUAAGAAUAGUCUGGGUGUGGGUGACCUUUCAUGUCAGAUGGAACAUUCUGUGGUCACUCAUACCUGAGACUAGAAUAUAACUGAAGAAUUUGUGGGUUCAGUAGUGAUUGAAAACCUGUGCAACAGAAUUGAAGGCCUGUGGAGACGAACACACACACAAACCCAUAUCAUUGUAUGAUCAGUGGUGCUGUGCAUGUGUUUGUGUGUGUAUGUGUAUGUGUGUGGAGGGGGGAGGGAGCUGUUUUUUCCUCUUUUCCUCAUUAUAAUUCUGUUUUUCUCAGUCAUAAUCCAUUUAACCAUUUCCCUGAAUUCCUUUAGUGUAUGACAACAACUUGCCUUAUGGGCAGAAUGUUAAUUGCUCUACUUACAUUGAAUUAAAAAAACCACAGCCGGGUCCAGCCUUACUUUCACAUGAUGUGAAACAACAUUAAUAGAAGCCAACACUGCAGUUGUUACCUACAAACUAUUACAAGAACAGUAAUGCAUAUUAUAUUUCAACUUAGCCACUACCUGGCAAAAUACAUCUAAUGGAGUUACAUAUGAAGCUUAAGCACAGGAAAAGUAUACAUAGUUAUUUAAGGUAAAGUUAUAGUUUUAGGCAAAUUUUCCCUGUAAAUAUAACAUCAUUGCACAUGUUAUUGGAUUACUUACGGUAUUGUAAUGGUACAAAUGGGUAUAAGAAUGUAAUGGUAAAGAAUUCAAAGGAGUGACUUUACAUUGAGCAGUUAAAGCAGAAAAUGUCACGGGUAUAGGAAUAUAGUGAUACCCUUGCUUAGGGUUGUUGGUCGGUAGCUGGCUGUUUCUAUACCUGCUAGAUUCAGGCAGAAAAUUAGCAGACCACUCAUGCACAGAUUAAUUUUAGAAGCCUGUGGGUUUUGGGGAGAGACAAACAUACUGAUGAUACGAUAGCUGGUAUGCACAGGUGCAGAAUGUUUACAUGUAACAAAAAACAAGACCGCAAAUUGCACCACAUACUGUAUAUGUAACCUUUACCUUGAGUGAGGUCUGAAAGAUGGUCAGAUCUUUGUUAGAUUAGUGGGUAUAAGUGCUCUUUGUUUUAAAUUAGCAGCAUAUGGAAAAACAACUAAUACUCUGGUUUUUAUGCUUUAAGAACACACUCUACCAUUAUAAAUUUAUUUAUACUUCUGGUGGAGGUGUGCUAAAAUGCCAUCUCUGAUAACUUAAGCUCUCUUCCUGUCUCAGGUCUGUAGAAUUGAUCUGCACGUAUUAGUUUUUAAUUAUUGUAUUGACCUUCCUUCUAACUACCACUAGCAAAACUGCAAGCCAGUCUUUCUUUGGAGCAUUGCAAUCUAAGAAAAAAGAUAAUUUAAUUUGGGGAGAAAUGUGAAAUGUGCAAAUGUGGUUUAUUGAAAAUAGCAAAGACCAAUAUUUCAACCCACACAGCGAUUCCCAAAACGGUAUAGUUUCAAUAUCCUGACUUUUUUGCUCAAAAUGUUGAAGUUCAGAAGAGUGUGUACCUUUCUUUGUUUUCCUUUACAAAGUAUUGAAUAUGUUUACUUCUUAGGACAGAUUUAGAAAUUUUACAGAACAUACAAUGUUUAAAGUAUCCUGUUAAUCUUUCAAGAUACCUGCAUAUAAGUAUUUGUAAAUAGCCAAUUCUCAAACAGCAUUUAAUUCUCAAACAGAAAAAUAUCUAUUGUACCUCAAGAGACUAGUUUUAAACAAGAAGAAAUGAAAAGGGUUGUUUAAUUUCAACAAAAAAAGUACAACAUUGUGUUGUGGAUCUCAGACAAAAGCAGAAACGGGCACAGCACUCCCCCGCAUACCACACAGCACUGCUCCACCUACACUGUUUAUCCGUAAACAUGUUCUGGUUAGUUCAACUGAAGCCACGAAGCAGUCAUGAGAUACUCAGCACCUUGUGAUGUCCAUGGAUUGCACACUUCAAUCAGUCAUUGCAUGCAAAGGAUAUGUGACAAAACACCAAACAUGACUACUUUCAUUUACAGAGCAUGAUGAAGUGUCAAACCAAUCAUUUGUCUUGCCUCCACGUAUUAUGGAGGCCACUGUAUAAGAAUCAAUAAAAACCCAGUUUCCUUCAGGCAUCAUACCAGCUUGUGGAUACUUUAUGCAUUGUCUAGCUCAUCACUCAUACUGCAACAGUAUAAUGUGUUUUUGUUUGAAGAAUUAGCGGUUCAACCUAACCCCAGUGUGGUUUGUCCUUAACUUUUGAAUAACACAUAUUAAACUAUGACAUCACAAAAAGUUGUUUUUUGUUGCACACCGUUAUAAAUGAUGUUAAACGAAGCAUCAGUGAUUUUUACAUUUUACCAUAAAAGACAGACAAUGUACAAACAAUGCCCUCCAAACUAUGUCAAAGGUAGAGCGAAAUCUAUUACUUUUGCGAUGUACUUCAGGCAUUUGGAUUUGAGAUCAGAAGAAUAGGAGACAAAAGUACAGACAAUCAGCUUUUCAUGAUAUUUUCAUGCAUAGGGCUAUGUUUUACCAAUUUACAAAUCUGUUUUUUGUGUUGUGUCCCCCCAUUUUCAGACUAUUCGUUUUGGGGAGAAAUUCUAAUAUGAAAUGAUACUUUUGUCGAUAAAACUAUUGGUUUAAAUAGAAAGAUCGGAGCGGGAUUAAUUUAAAAUCCUACUAUAAUUGUAUUUCAUCCAACCCAAGUCAGAGGUAGAUCAAGGCAUGUUCGGUCAUAGAUAGGCCUAGCUACAUAUGACAAACUUUUGAGACCUUUUACUAUUGUAGGAAAAUUUUGAGACUCCCCAUGAUUGAGAUGACGUCACAUGUUAAAGUUAAGGUAUUCCCAUCAAUGUUGAUCAGACUGUUUCCUCCAAACUCUUGAUGCUGCAUGAUAAAAAUAUAUCACAUGUAUACCUAUAUACUAAUAUAAUGAAUAUGUAAUCCAAUAAACCUAUAUCAGUAGUUGCAGCUAAGCUUAUGGAAACGCAAGAAACCACAGUAUCCACUGUAGAAAAAAAGCAAACACAGAAGGCUUAAAAAAACCAUACUUACUCAGCAGAAAAUUAUUGCCAAAUAGAAGUGCUAGAAGACUAGUAUUUUACAGUGACUCCUAUGUAACCUGAAUACAAUGGAAAAUUACAGAAGGCUGUGACUUGUAUGCAUAAUGGAAAAUUACAGAGUAAAGACUGAUAUUUUUCUAAGGGAAAGUUGGGGUGACUUUCCACAAUGACGAUAUCACCUAAGAACAGAAAAUCACUGUGGUGCCAAGAAGGUCAGGUCGACCCAAGAGCAGGAAAUUAAAAUCAUUGUGGUGCCAAGAAGACCAGAUGGCUGGUAUUUUUUAGAAAUGUGUUAAGGGGAGUUGUGGGGUACAUUUGUGUAUAAAAUGUAUGCAAAACUGACAAUCGAGGUUCAAUUCGGCUGAAUUGAUCCGGCUUUGUGCACCUGUGCAAAUAAAGUCUAACCUUUCUGAAGA